rnacentral:lncRNA from 1 species
UCAAACCGAUUGAGUGUCAAUGAAUACACUAAGUGUUGUAACUAAAUCAUGCUGAUAUGCUCAAUGUGAAAAUCGGCAGUGUAACAUACCGAACCUCUAUAGUUAUGAAGUUACGGUGUAUAUUAGUUUGGAAAGCCAAUCCUGAAGUUGUUCCGAUGAAGUUCGGAUGCAUUCGGGUGUUUUCGGUGCGAGUCGGACUCGAAAACGGAACCCGAAAAGUUAUGUUAAGCUUUGACCGAA